GAUGAACGCUGGCGGCGUGCCUAAUACAUGCAAGUCGAGCGAACAGACGAGGAGCUUGCUCCUCUGACGUUAGCGGCGGACGGGUGAGUAACACGUGGAUAACCUACCUAUAAGACUGGGAUAACUUCGGGAAACCGGAGCUAAUACCGGAUAAUAUAUUGAACCGCAUGGUUCAAUAGUGAAAGACGGUUUUGCUGUCACUUAUAGAUGGAUCCGCGCCGCAUUAGCUAGUUGGUAAGGUAACGGCUUACCAAGGCGACGAUGCGUAGCCGACCUGAGAGGGUGAUCGGCCACACUGGAACUGAGACACGGUCCAGACUCCUACGGGAGGCCGCAGUAGGGAAUCUUCCGCAACGGGCGAAAGCCUGACGGAGCAACGCCGCGUGAGUGAUGAAGGUCUUCGGAUCGUAAAACUCUGUUAUUAGGGAAGAACAAAUGUGUAAGUAACUAUGCACGUCUUGACGGUACCUAAUCAGAAAGCCACGGCUAACUACGUG
rnacentral:rRNA from 1 species